rnacentral:tRNA from 1 species
CGUCCCAGAGCUGGAGUGGCCGACAGCGCCCGUCCGCACGACGGGAGGUCCGGGUUCGAAUCCCGGUGGGACGA